UACGUAGGGUGCGAGCGUUGCCCGGAUUUAUUGGGCGUAAAGAGCUUGUAGGCGGUUUGUCGCGUCUGCCGUGAAAAUCCGGGGCUCAACCCCGGACUUGCGGUGGGUACGGGCAGACUAGAGUGUGGUAGGGGAGACUGGAAUUCCUGGUGUAGCGGUGAAAUGCGCAGAUAUCAGGAGGAACACCGAUGGCGAAGGCAGGUCUCUGGGCCACUACUGACGCUGAGAAGCGAAAGCGUGGGGAGCGAACAGG
rnacentral:rRNA from 1 species